rnacentral:lncRNA from 1 species
GGUUUUGUCACCACAUGAAAGAGAACUAUUUAUUUUUAUUGUGGUUAACUUAGUAGUAACAAACAAAAUAUCUUAUUCCUGUCCAUGAAAAGCAAUCUUGCCCAUCUUUAUGGGCUUCAUCCAACGUGUGCUGAGUCAGUGGUAUUAUGCAUGGGCUUUCAAUUAGCAUCUGACUGCAAAUCUAGUGAGCUGGAUUAGAGCAUGAGUGCUCUCGUACCACAAGACUGAACAUUUUACAAGACUUUGAUACCCUGAGAGGGAAUAAUGCCAAUGUUUAGUGAGGGUCUGUACAGUGCUUCAGAUCUUGGAAGGCAAAUCCUUUGGUAUUGCAGUUGAAGCACUCUGGCAGAAGCCCACUGGUGUGGCUGGACGUGUGGAGAGAGGAACAUUGUGAGAUUUUUAUGGUGUCAUUAGAUCACGGCUCAUGUGAAAUUGAGUGAUAGAUAGUUUACAUAGUCAGCGUUAUAGCAAAGUUCACAGGCAUGGUUCCAACUGUAUAUAUCAAGGCUAAUCUCAAUUACAACUUAAAAAUGCCUCCGUCUUUGUCACUGUAGGGAUGGUCUGGAAAAUAUCGACUAAUCGCUACAGCUGAAAGCUUGUCAUGUUAAUCUUUAUCCCACUAAAGUUCACAGUUCAUUCAGUGUGCCCUACAGCCGUUCCACUUUGAUGGCUCUCUCAUUUCUCCUAGUUUUGUUGUUUGUCUAGGCCUUUCAUACAGCAAUAAUCAAGAGGAAAAAAAUCAAUUGUAAAAACAAAGAUGACAAUUGGAUUCUUUUAAAAUGAGAUAUUAAUGAGGGGAAUUUGGGAGCAGUCGUACUGACAUUCCUUUAAAGUAUUCCCACCUUCAACUUGGCUGGAAUUCAGGUUGACGAUGACAUUUGAAAUUAUUACAUUACAUGGGGGAAAAGUUCAUCAGAUCCCAUCAAGGAGGGUUUCAAAGAAAUGGCCAAGGACUCUCAAAGCAGGAAGGCGAAGGAACUAGAGAGGCCACUGAGGCUUCCGUGGGUUUCAGAUCUAUAUGUAUGUGAAUGUGUAUUCUGUUAGACACACAGAAACUGGACAUUACAAGUUAUGCCAGGAUUCAUACUGGCUGGGAUGGUCUUAUUUAAGAAAUAGGUAUAUGUGACAGAAG